rnacentral:lncRNA from 1 species
AGUCCCCCUUCUCAACUCCUGCCGGAAGUUCGGGUGACGUCAUCACCCCGCGCCCCUCGUACCGUCUCAGGGGUGGCGGCCCAGACGGGGGGGGAAGCGGCGGAGGCGCUGAGAGCGAAGAGCAGCGCGGGGAGGAAGAGGAGGAGGAGGCGGCGCGGCGCCAUCGCGGCCCCUUUAAGGCCCUCCGCAGGUCCCCGUCACGUGAGGAACCCGCCGUCGGCAUGUGACCGGAAAACGGAGGCUGGGCCUCCCGCCUUAAAGCGGCGACGCCUCUUCUUCAAGCGGCAACGCGGUGGGGCCCAUCCCGAAACAGAAUAUUCGCUUUGUUGGGUUUUUUUGGGUUAUUCUUUUUUUUUUUUUGUACAAAAACACCGUUUUAUUGCAAUUUCUCUCCCUACGGCCCGAACGGCUUCGCGUCCCUCACGCAGUGGAGAUGCUGUGAGCAGAGAGAAAGCCCCGCCUAAAGCCGGUUUUACGGGCGUAAAGCUGAGCGCCGGGCAGCCCCGGACCCGCACGGUUCUCUCUGAGCCGCCCGGAUCUCCGCCGUGCCGCCAUUUUGGGCUCCGCACCUGAGAGAAGCGCUGCGGCGCGUCGUGAUGACGUCACGAGGGGGGGGGCACCGCAGCUGCGAAAGAAGCGAGCGCCGCUCGGCGCGCGGUGAUGACGUCAAUUAAAUGCGCCGGAAUGGGGGGGAGAAGGAGGCGGAUGUGAGC